AUUGAACGCUGGCGGCAGGCCUAACACAUGCAAGUCGAACGGUAACAGGAAGAAGCUUGCUUCUUUGCUGACGAGUGGCGGACGCGUGAGUAAUGUCUGAGAAACUGCCUGAUGGAGGGGGAUAACCACUUGAAACGGUAGCUAAUACCGCAUAACGUCUCAAGACCAAAGAGGGGGACCUUCGGGCCUCUUGCCAUCGGAUGUGCCCAGAUGGGAUUAGCUAGUAGGUGGGGUAACGGCUCACCUAGGCGACGAUCCCUAGCUGGUCUGAGAGGAUGACCAGCCACCCUGGAACUGAGACACGGUCCCGACUCCUACGGGAGGCAGCAGUGGGGAAUAUUGACCAAUGGGCGAAAGGCUGAUGCAGCGAUGCCGAGAGUAUGAAGAAGGCCCUCGGGUUGUAGAGUACUAUCAGCGGGGAGGAAGGGAUGAAAGUUAAUACCUUUGCUGAUUGACGUUACCGGGAGAAGAAGCACCGGCUAACUCCGUG
rnacentral:rRNA from 1 species